rnacentral:rRNA from 1 species
GAUGAACGCUAGCGGCAGGCCUAAUACAUGCAAGCCAAGGGCUGUUUGGUGUAGCACUACAUCAAACAACCGGCGGAGGGGUGCGUAACGCGGAUGCAACCUACCCUAUACAGGAGGAUAGACAUCGGAAACGAGGAUUAAUACUCCAUAAGAUUGAUUAGAGGCAUCUUUAAGCAAUUAAAGCCGCACGGCGGUAUAGGAUGGGCGUGCGUACGAUUAGCUAGUUGGUGAGGUAACGGCUCACCAAGGCGAUGAUCGGUGUGGGUUCUGAGAGGAAGAUCCCCCAGACCAGCACGGGAACACGGACCCGACUCCUACGUGAUUCAGCAGUAACGAAUAGUGGACAAUGGGUGAAAGCCUGAUCCAGCCAUGCCGAGUGCAGGAAUAAGUCCCUAUGGGUGGUAAACUGCUUUUGAGAGGACGAACUAAGGGCGAUGCGUCACUCUAUAAUAGUACUUCUCCAAUAAGCAUCGGCUAACUUCGUG